AAAACGACAACGUUUUCAAAGAUUCCUUGAACCCUAACAGCCUUGCUACUCCGCUAAGGGUUUAAGCGACCCACUCCUGGCCUUCUCCUGUUUCUUUCAAUCGCCAAUCUUUCAACCUCAAAUGGCUUCCUUCUGCAGAUCCGCUCUAAUGGCGGGUUCCAGGUCCCUCGUUGCUCGCUCUAAAGUCGUCACUCCGAAAUCGCUAAACUCAUCCCCCUUUGCCUCUCCAUUUUCUUCAACCUCCGGUUCCAUUCCCAGAGCCUCCAGGGUUGUUGCUGCUUUGGGAAGCGUUGAUUCAUUGAUGCCACUUCAUAGUGCCAUUGCUUCUGCUCGUCUCAAGUCUAACAUCGCUGUUGAUUCCACCUUCUGGAGCUGCCUUUCUCAAGACUUUGCAGUUCCUCGGUGACAACAACUUGGGCCUUGUACAUCACCAGUUGGCUUGAAUGUCAGUGGUGUUUCUAUUCCAUUCAUGUUGCUUUGUCAUUUCUUCUUUGUAUUUUCUUCCAGGUUCUGACUAUUGGUCUGUGUUAACUUCAAUUGGGGUAUCCAAGUAACAUAGGAGAUGCAGCCGCCUUCUAUUAAUAUGAAGUUUAUCGUAUUGUCUGGCUUUGAAGCUUAUUUGAGUUUUUUGUCAACUUGUGUACGACCCCUCUUGGCACUUUAAAUCAAGUUUUCAGCAGGCAGCUUGUCAAUGAAUCUCCCCAUGAGAUUAGUUAGGACUUCUAGGACUCGACACCAGCUGAACAAGUGAAAAAGAACCCAAAAGCCCACUAUGACCAAGCUUCGAUCAAGUUUUGCAGGCUGUAACAAACUUGUAUUUUGCUAUUGAAUGCUUCAAGAUUGCUAUAUUGCUAUUGAAUCCAUCAAGUUUGCUAUUUCUUUUUAAAGCUUAUUUUGAUCACGGUAUCCUGCCCUGCUGCUGGAAAUUAAAGCUUUUAUAUUGAAGUUUAUUUAGCAGAAUAA